GCCGGGCAUGGUGGCGCAUGCCUGUAAUCCCAGCCACUCAGGAGGCUGAGGCACAAGAAUCACUUGAACCCGGGACGCAGAGGUUGCAGUGAGCCAAGAUUGUGCCACUGCACUCCAGCCUGGGCGACAGAGUGAGACUCUGUCUCAA
rnacentral:SRP_RNA from 1 species